rnacentral:rRNA from 1 species
UACGGAGGGUGCGAGCGUUAAUCGGAAUUACUGGGCGUAAAGGGCGCGUAGGCGGUGAAGUCAGUCGGGUGUGAAAGCCCCGGGCUCAACCUGGGAACUGCAUCCGAUACUGCUUCGCUAGAGUAUGGUAGAGGGAAGCGGAAUUCCGGGUGUAGCGGUGAAAUGCGUAGAUAUCCGGAGGAACACCAGUGGCGAAGGCGGCUUCCUGGACCAAUACUGACGCUGAGGCGCGAAAGCGUGGGGAUCAAACAGGAUUAGAAACCCCAGUAGUCC